UGCCAGGUAGCUGAGUUGGUAGAGCACUUGCCCUCGAAAGGCAAAGGUCCCGAGUUCGAGUCUCGGCCCGGCAC
rnacentral:tRNA from 1 species